AGACGACCAGGUCGUUUAAGAGACUCCAGCUAAUGGCACUGGGCAUGCGGCGUGCUGAGAACUUCUUUCUGAAGACGGAUUCUGGUGGCGAACAAAACAAUAACAGCUUGAGAGGCAGCAGCGAGAGACGGAGAGAUGGAGAGAGCGAGAGAGGCAUCAGAUGCCCAGUGAGAGCCUGGUACUUUAGGGAAGCCAGUUCUCCCUGCACAGCUCUGCUGCACUUCUAGCCUUCCCAGAAAGAGAGAGAGAGAGAAGAAACAUCGCUUCAGGUUAUUCAUGGAUUGACUCUUCAAAUCCCAACAUAUGCUCCUCUGUUUCCCUUCCCAAGCACCGGGAGAAAUGGACCAUUUCCUCUCUGCAGCCUCCUCUCUACCACCCUGUCCGCUGCUCGCGAUGUAAAUCAGAGAGAUGCGAGCCAAUGCAACCCAAGCGCAUGUGGGGUGUGUGUGGGCUGCCUGAGUGAAGUUAAAGACCCCAUCCAGCAGCCUGUCAGUCCAUCGUGUGUGUGUGUGCAUGUGUGUGCAUGAUAUUCUUUAAAUAACAGUUUCAACUAGAUCUGCUUCUCUUGAAAGAAACAUCGUUUGUGUAAGUUUAGUCUAUAGGUUUUGAUUCUGCAUAAAUGAUAUUUUGAUAAGUGCACAAAUGACUUCUGCAUUCAUAAUGCAGCAUAAAAUAGUACAGUACAUUGUCAUAUUUGUAAUCU
ensembl:lncRNA